rnacentral:lncRNA from 1 species
GAUGACAAGCAGCUUUGACUUCCUUCUGUUUUCAUGUUGAACAGCAGCCGCUGCUAGAGCCUGCUAUGUCUGAGACGAUCCCCACUCAUCACUGUCUCUCUUAGGUGAGAGGAAACGCCACACACACCAUAGAAGAGUAUGAAGAAAAGGUGGAGGAAGCUGGAACUAAGUUCAAUGCAGUUCAACAGCUAUGAGAAGCAUGCCACUGUGGGAUGUUCAGAGUGGAGGAGGCUACACAUGUGCAGGUGCCGCUCUGGAAACAUCUGGGCUGUGAAGGUGAACACUGCAGGAGAGGGGCAGUAGAUAUACCACAUGGGUGCUGAGAAUUGAACCUGGGUCAUUUGGAGGAGCAGCUGCUAAUCUCCAAAUUGCCAAGCCAUCUCUCCUGUCCCUGUACACUGCUUCUGUAGCCUAAUAUUCUUUGUUUGUUUUAAGGCCGAGUCUCAUGUAGGCCUGGAUGACCUCACCCUGUCUAUGUAGAUGAGGAUGACCUUAAAUUCCUGAUCCACCUGCCUCCACCUCACAAGUGCUGGGACUACAAGUGAGCUAUUGUAUCUGGUGUUGCAAACACUUUUCUAUAUUAAUCUGCCUUAAACAUGACUUUAUGUUAGUCUUUAAGUACUAUAGUUGAGUGUUAACUGUUGGAAAUCAAAUGUGCAUCCAACAUUUUCAAUUAUAAAUUACACUUGAGUGAACAUUUUUAUAAGGAAACCCACUGUGCAUACCAUGAAUGUUACUUCGGCUAGAUUCUUAAAAGUGAAACAGUGAGCCAAGGGGGAUGAACACUUUCAGGCUCCGGUACAUUUUGCUUCCUUGCUUUUGGUAUAAUAAAUUCACCCUCCCCUCCCUCCCCUGGCACAGAAGGUGAUGGUCGCCGCUGCCUUGUACCCUAACAUACCAUAGCUCUACUCUUAACUCUCAACAUUCUGUUUGCUCUUUUUUUUUUUUUUUUAAAUUUUUUUAAAUUUCAAGAUACUAUACAAGAAAGUUUCAGUCAAAGAUUAAUUUGGAGAUAUAAACAAAGAUUAUGUUCGCUCCUUUCUCUGUUGUAUAUAAGAGACUAAGGAAAGAUCCUGCACUUGAGAUUUUACAAAUCACAAUAUAUAGCAAGACACAGAGGAAUGGGAUCCCUCAUUCAGUGCUUGCAUGAAUGAAAAAAACUGGUGUAAAAACUAGAGUGGUAGUUUCUAAAAAGAAAUUAAUAAUAAUACAAAAUUAUCAUAGAUUCAGAAAUUCCAUUCAUUCGUAUCAAGUAAGAGAAAUAAAAAUGUGCACACAAA